CUACGGGUUGCAGCAGUGGGGAAUAUUGCACAAUGGAGGAAACUCUGAUGCAGCAACGCCGCGUGGAGGAUGACACUUUUCGGAGCGUAAACUCCUUUUAUAUAGGAAGAAGAUGACGGUACUAUAUGAAUAAGCGCCGGCUAACUCCGUGCCAGCAGCCGCGGUAAUACGGAGGGCGCAAGCGUUACUCGGAAUCACUGGGCGUAAAGAGCGUGUAGGCGGAUUAAAAAGUCAGAAGUGAAAUCCUAUAGCUUAACUUUAGAACUGCUUCUGAAACUCUUAAUCUAGAAUAUGGGAGAGGUAGAUGGAAUUUCUGGUGUAGGGGUAAGAUCCGUAGAGAUCAGAAGGAAUACCGAUUGCGAGGGCGAUCUACUAGAACAUUAUUGACGCUGAGACGCGAAAGCGUGGGGAGCAAACAGGAUUAGAUACCCUAGUAGUC
rnacentral:rRNA from 1 species